AGUGAACGCUGGCGGUAGGCCUAACACAUGCAAGUCGAACGGCAGCACAGUAAGAGCUUGCUCUUACGGGUGGCGAGUAGCGGACGGGUGAGGAAUACAUCGGAAUCUACUUUUUCGUGGGGGAUAACGUAGGGAAACUUACGCUAAUACCGCAUACGACCUACGGGUGAAAGCAGGGGAUCUUCGGACCUUGCGCGAUUGAAUGAGCCGAUGUCGGAUUAGCUAGUUGGCGGGGUAAAGGCCCACCAAGGCGACGAUCCGUAGCUGGUCUGAGAGGAUGAGCAGCCACACUGGAACUGAGACGCGGUCCAGACUCCUACGGGAGGCAGCAGUGGGGAAUAUUGGACAAUGGGCGCAAGCCUGAUCCAGCCAUACCGCGUGGGUGAAGAAGGCCUUCGGGUUGUAAAGCCCUUUUGUUGGGAAAGAAAAGCAGCAGGUUAAUACCCCGCUGUUCUGACGGUACCCAAAGAAUAAGCACCGGCUAACUUCGUG
rnacentral:rRNA from 1 species